rnacentral:lncRNA from 1 species
CUUACUUAAGUAAGACUAAUUCCUGAGGUACUUAAAAUUCAGUGAUUCCCACUAGAAUAUGAGAAUGUUAAUCAUCUGAUAUUGGUCCUAGCAUCUAGAAUUUAAUACAAGGUAAUUUCUCUGUAACUGUUACGUGAAUUAAAUUAUGUCUACUGAUACUAUAAAAUUCCAGGCAGAGUUCUUUUUCCUAUAGAAGAGAAAUAGAGGUGAGCUUCUCAGCCUCAGAAUAUAGAUACUGUUGUAACUAACCAACCAGCCUAGUUUAUCUACCUAAGUCACAAUACCCAUGUUCUUCCACCCUUGUAUACCUGUGAACUGAAAUGGAGAUAUUUCUGUAAGUAGAUCUCACUGGGA